GGAGGUGUGGCGGAACUGGUAGACGCGCUAGACUCAAAAUCUUGUUCGCUUUGCGAGUGGGAGUUCAAGUCUCCCCACCUCUACCA
rnacentral:tRNA from 1 species